UGGGGAAUUUUGCACAAUGGGCGGAAGCCUGAUGCAGCGACGCCGUGUGGGGGAUGAAGGCCUUCGGGUUGUAAACUCCUUUCGUCAGGGACGAAGUUUGUUUGACGGUACCUGGAUAAGAAGCACCGGCUAACUACGUGCCAGCAGCCGCGGUAAUACGUAGGGUGCGAGCGUUGUCCGGAUUUACUGGGCGUAAGGGCUCGUAGGUGGUGUGUUGCGUCGUCUGUGUAAUCCAGGGGCUUAACUUUUGGUUGGCAGGCGAUACGGGCAUUGCUUGAGUGCUGUAGGGGAGACUGGAAUUCCUGGUGUAGCGGUGAAAUGCGCAGAUAUCAGGAGGAACACCGAUGGCGAAGGCAGGUCUCUGGGCAGUUACUGACGCUGAGGAGCGAGAGCAUGGGUAGCGAACAGG
rnacentral:rRNA from 1 species